rnacentral:rRNA from 1 species
GAGUAAUGUCUGGGAAACUGCCUGAUGGAGGGGGAUAACUACUGGAAACGGUAGCUAAUACCGCAUAACGUCGCAAGACCAAAGAGGGGGACCUUCGGGCCUCUUGCCAUCGGAUGUGCCCAGAUGGGAUUAGCUAGUAGGUGGGGUAACGGCUCACCUAGGCGACGAUCCCUAGCUGGUCUGAGAGGAUGACCAGCCACACUGGAACUGAGACACGGUCCAGACUCCUACGGGAGGCAGCAGUGGGGAAUAUUGCACAAUGGGCGCAAGCCUGAUGCAGCCAUGCCGCGUGUAUGAAGAAGGCCUUCGGGUUGUAAAGUACUUUCAGCGGGGAGGAAGGGAGUAAAGUUAAUACCUUUGCUCAUUGACGUUACCCGCAGAAGAAGCACCGGCUAACUCCGUGCCAGCAGCCGCGGUAAUACGGAGGGUGCAAGCGUUAAUCGGAAUUACUGGGCGUAAAGCGCACGCAGGCCGGUUUGUUAAGUCAGAUGUGAAAUCCCCGGGCUCAACCUGGGAACUGCAUCUGAUACUGGCAAGCUUGAGUCUCGUAGAGGGGGGUAGAAUUCCAGGUGUAGCGGUGAAAUGCGUAGAGAUCUGGAGGAAUACCGGUGGCGAAGGCGGCCCCCUGGACGAAGACUGACGCUCAGGUGCGAAAGCGUGGGGAGCAAACAGGAUUAGAUACCCUGGUAGUCCACGCCGUAAACGAUGUCGACUUGGAGGUUGUGCCCUUGAGGCGUGGCUUCCGGAGCUAACGCGUUAAGUCGACCGCCUGGGGAGUACGGCCGCAAGGUUAAAACUCAAAUGAAUUGACGGGGGCCCGCACAAGCGGUGGAGCAUGUGGUUUAAUUCGAUGCAACGCGAAGAACCUUACCUGGUCUUGACAUCCACGGAAGUUUUCAGAGAUGAGAAUGUGCCUUCGGGAACCGUGAGACAGGUGCUGCAUGGCUGUCGUCAGCUCGUGUUGUGAAAUGUUGGGUUAAGUCCCGCAACGAGCGCAACCCUUAUCCUUUGUUGCCAGCGGUCCGGCCGGGAACUCAAAGGAGACUGCCAGUGAUAAACUGGAGGAAGGU